rnacentral:rRNA from 1 species
CGUCUAUAUACGUAUAGCAUAUCAAUAAGCGGAGGAAAAGAAACUAACAAGGAUUCCCUUAGUAACGGCGAGUGAAGCGGGAAGAGCUCAAAUUUGAAAUCUUCAAGGUUCUACCUUGACGAAUUGUAGUUUAAAGAAGUGUUUUCUGUUAGAGGAGUAGCAAAAGUUCCUUGGAAUGGGACAUCAUAGAGGGUGAGAAUCCCGUAUUUGGUUACUUCUUUCUAGCUUUGUGAUACACUUUCAAAGAGUCGGAUUGUUUGGGAAUGCAGUCCAAAAUGGGUGGUAAAUUUCAUCUAAAGCUAAAUAUUGGCGAGAGACCGAUAGCGAACAAGUACCGUGAGGGAAAGAUGAAAAGAACUUUGAAAAGAGAGUUAAACAGUACGUGAAAUUGUCAAAAGGGAAGCGUUUGACACCAGUGUUGUUUUUCUGAAAAUCAAUUAAGAGUGGCUUGAUUUUGUGUUGUAUUGACCUUAUCAGCUUUCUUCACUCUUUUUCGAGUCUUUCUUAAUGCACUUUUCGGUUAACAAGUCAACAUCAAUUUCUUUUGUUGUAAAAGGGUAUUUGGAAGGUGGCUUUCUUUUCGGAGAAAGUGUUUAUAGCCUUAUGACCUCCUAGCAAUCGGAGAGAUUGAGGUCUGCAGCGUAGAUCCUUCGGGGCUAGAUACACUUGUGCUAAGUUAUAGCUUUUCAUAGACAACUUGUUGACUAUGUUUAGUCAUGUAGCUUACCCGCUUGUGCUAUUUUACCUACGCUUAGGAUGUUGAGUCAUCACACAUCUCU